UAGGGAAUCUUCGGCAAUGGGGGCAAACCCUGACCGAGCAACGCCGCGUGAGUGAAGAAGGUUUUCGGAUCGUAAAGCUCUGUUGUAAGAGAAGAAUGUGUGUGAGAGUGGAAAGUUCACACAGUGACGGUAACUUACCAGAAAGGGACGGCUAACUACGUGCCAGCAGCCGCGGUAAUACGUAGGUCCCGAGCGUUGUCCGGAUUUAUUGGGCGUAAAGCGAGCGCAGGCGGUUUAAUAAGUCUGAAGUUAAAGGCAGUGGCUUAACCAUUGUUCGCUUUGGAAACUGUUAAACUUGAGUG
rnacentral:rRNA from 1 species